AGGAUUUAGAUAUUAUAGUAAAGAACUUGAGAACCUUUAGCUGCCUAAAUUCUCUGAAGGAACCAGCCUUGAAAUCUUUGGCCUGUAACUCUCGAUACGAAAGCUAUGAUGGAAACGAAGUACUAUUUUAUGAGGGAGAGUUGAGCACUUGCUGGUAUAUCUUAUUAUCCGGCUUGGUUAUAAUUGAAAAGGAAUUAUACUUCCCACGUAAUUGCUUCGGUAAGAGGACAGCCGAAUGUAGAAGAAGAAUGAAUCAAUGUCUAGUAUUGGAUAGUUCGGAUAUGAUAGUCAUUGACUACCCGGAUGUACAGAUUGAAGAGGCGUCGAACCGACGGUCGAUGAUAGAGAAAUGCUUCGGCGACGAUUGCGAUGUACGGUUGACCAGAUACCGAAUUCAUUCAACGGACGGAUUAAUCGAUCAUCUACGACCAGACGAAUUAACAAUGGUACACGGAAAUGAUUAUAAUAAGGAUGGCGAACAUCGCUUACAAGCUGCUAGAACUGCUGCUUGUAAGCGGAAUUCUCAUGCUUCCGAUACUUCUAGCGCCUAUAGCGGUUCGGAUAUGAUGCAGAGUAGUGUAAGCGGUGAAGUUGCUGAUUUAUCCGGAUUGACGGAAACUCUUGUAGACUCUGAUGACGAGGAAGGUUACGUUGAAAGUUCCGACGGGUCAACUGUUAGGGAUAAUGUACAAGAAAUAUUUGAAAAAUCUAAAAAUGAAAGGACUGACGAUGAUAUCGAAACAUUGUUAGAAAAUUUUAAACAUUUACCGGCUUUUGCCAAUAUGACAAUGGCUAUUAGAAGAGAAAUGUGUAGAGUAAUGGCUCUUGCAGUUGUAGACAAAGCCAAUAUGACCGUUCUAGAAGAUGGAGAAAUACUGGAUUCUUGGUCCGUAAUACUGAAUGGACACGUCGAAGUGAUAAAACCCGAUAAAACCGUCCUUACUUAUAACAUGGGUGAAUCCUUUGGAAUAUCUGCUUCGAAAGAAAUUCAAAAGCAUGUUGGAGUUAUGCGAACUAAAGUUGACAAUUGUCAAUUUAUUUGCAUCGAUCAAGAGAAUUAUUAUCGUAUUUUAACUCAGGGGGAAGAGAACACGAUACGGCACGAAGAGAAUAAUAAAGUAGUUCUCGUUACUGAACAACAGGUUGCCGGUGGAUCGAAAAAAGACUUCACCGUAAUAAGGGGCACAAAAGAUAAACUCUUGGAUCACUUGUUGGAAAUUUCAAAUACCGAUCCAUCAUACGUGGAAGACUUUUUACUAACUUACCGAACGUUCUUGUCAUCUCCAUAUGAACUAACUUCAAAGCUAUUAGCGUGGUUUGACGAUAAGAGACUGCGGGAUAGGGUAACUAGAAUUGUUCUGUUAUGGGUAAAUAAUCACUACAACGACUUUGAAAGUGAAUCGGGUAUGAGUGAAUUUUUAGAAAAAUUUGAAAAUCUCUUAACUCAAGAGAGAAUGGAAGGCCAAUUAAGAUUGUUGAAUAUUGCGUGCGCAGCUAAGGCUAGGCCUAGGAAUGUUGUGGUAAGACGAUCGGAUCGUAAUCAAGUCCUACAAUUUCACAUACUCGGAGGUCAAGAAAGGGGGGCCCCAAUUUUUAUUACAAAUGUGCAGAAAAAUACGAAAGCUCACGAGGCAGGUUUAAAGAGGGGUGAUCAAAUUUUACAAGUCAACAACCAAAGUUUCGAUAAGAUAACCCAUAAAAAAGCUCUAGAAAUUCUGAGAGGGUCCACUCACUUAUCAAUGGUCGUCAAAUCAAAUCUAAUGGCAUUUACUGAUCUCCUGCAAGAAUCAACGCAUGUCAAUUUGGAAGGUCUCUCUAUAGAAUCUCAUGAAACGAAUAGAAAUGAAACACGACCUCAGAGGUUGUCUGCACCAGAUUUGCAGGCGUUAGGCGUCAAGUCUGUACUAAAAUCAAAUUCCACUGACAAAGAAAAAAAGAGUUUUAUAAGCGGUAGCAAGGCAAUGAAAAUUCGGAAGGCACUAAUGAAAUUAUACUGGAGACCAAAAGCUGUCACAGACAAGCCUGAGGGGAGAACUUUGAAAAGGAGUCUGAGUUCUUCUGGCAGUAUACAAUUGUCGACAUCGAAUCCAGAUUUAAGUGCUUUUGACGAUUCAGAAUUUAGAGCUUUUCCUGAUUACGUUAUUAAAGUCUAUAGAUCUGAUCAAACCUUUAAAUAUUUACCAAUACAAAAGGAAACGACGGCUCAGCAGGUUGUUAUGUUGGCAUUGAAACAAUUCGGAAUGACUGAGCCGAGCACAAAGUUUUCUUUAUGCAUCGUAACAAUUGAAACAGAAGACGUUGUAAAACAGAAACGUUUGCCUGACCAGUUGGAUAAUUUAGCAGAGAGGAGCAGCCUUAACGGAAGGUACUACUUAAAGGAAAAUACAGAAACGGAGCCAUUAAUUCCAGAUGAACAAAAAGGGGAAUUGUUAAAAGAAGGUUUAACCAGUCUCCUCCAAUUGCAUCCGGCUGAAAUAGCAGCUCAGUUAACCUUAAAUGAUUUCCGACUUUUCAAUAGUAUUCACCCAACUGAAUACAUAGAUGAUUUAUUUGACAAAGGUAGCGUUUUUGGAACACCAAAUUUGAUGGACUUUGUAAAGUUAGUGAAUAAGGAAACCCUUUGGGUGGUAACUGAAAUCCUAAAAGAAACGAAUCUUGUGCGUCGGGUAAAAUUCAUAAAACAUUUCAUAAAGAUUGCACGCCAUUGUAGGGAAUUGAAAAAUUUCAAUUCUGUAUUCGCCAUUGUUAGUGGAUUAGACCACACACUGCUAUCGAAGUUGAACGCAACUUGGGAAAAAGUUAGCAGAAAGUACACAAACCUGUUGGAAGAUCUAAGACAAUUGUUCAUGCCGUUACGUAAUUUCUCGAAUUAUAGACGGCUGGUCAAUAGCGAGCGAAUAGAACCACCCAUGAUACCUUUCUUUCCGUUAUUUAAAAAGGAUUUGUCUUUCAUUCACCUCGGUAAUGAUGACUUUGUCGAGGGUUUGAUCAACUUUGAAAAAUUAAGAAUGCUAGCAAGAGAGAUUCGGCACAUAUCAAACAUGGCAACCAUUCAAAAUCCUAUGCACACUUUGUUUAUGCACGGAUUACCAACGACAGGAGCGCACGCUGAAAGGGUAUUCAGCGCCUUUGGAUCUCGAUCGCUAUCGGCUCCAUCGAAUGCCGCUUUAGCCGUAGCGACAAUAAGAAGGAAAAGAAAAGCCUCAACUGCACCUAACCUAAAAAAAAUAUAUGAAGAGGGGCAAAUGGUUAGAAAAGUUAGAGACUAUUUAGAGAAGUUAAAGGUUAUUGAGGACGAUGAAGAACUAAAGGAAUUGGCCCAGCAGUGCGAUUCAAAGGAAGGCUCUCUACGAGGAUUAAAGAGAGAGUCAUCACCAUCCAUCCAAUCCAGAUCAACCAGAAAUUCAGCUACAAGUUUAGCUCCGAAUGCCUUUGCUGAUAGACUAGGUCCUGCUGAAGUGGUAAGAAAACGUAGUUGGACUUUUGGUGAUAAUAUUUUAAAGUCGGAUGCAAGAGGAGUAACGAGUUUGGAUAGCAUGAAUAAGCUGAUCGGUCUGAGAUCUAAGACUAAACCUCACAAUAAUAAGCACGACCCUCUUCCAACAAGCACUGUUUCCCCUAUUGUUCCUCGAAAGUCGAAGAGUCCGCCUUCACCUACUACACCUCCACCCCCCAAGCUAACUUUGACGAUGGAGAGCUCAAGCGUUAGCUCAACAGCUAACUCCCCAUCUAAACAACCUCCACCUGUUCCACCGAGACGUUAUAGAGAACGCAAUUCAGAAUCCUGCAGCAGUGUUAACAGCGAAAAGAAAGCCGGUGAUCGUUCCCACCAAGCUCACGGUAAUUAUCGUAUAAUAGUUUACUAGACGUAGAUAUGUGGAAAGGGUAGUCGCUUUCAUAUUCGUUUACCUCUUGUUCGUUUUCUAAUCGAUAAAAAAAAGCGGAAGAGAAAGGAAUAUAAAACAGAAAAUUUAGAAAAGCAUAUAUAUAUAUAUAUAUAUAUAUAUAUAAAACACGGAAGGGACAUAUUUAGAAGCUUUGUUAACGUAUACAGCAUCGAAUAUUCGCCAGACUAAUGAAUCUAGACCACGUCUUCCUUCUUACAACGACGCCGUUAGGCGUUUGGAAACCUGUUUUAGACAAACAGGUAAUAGAACGGAGUAUUUUGUUGCUUUCCUUUUUUGCGAACUCCUCCAAAACUUUCAUAUAUUUUAUUUUUGUUUUAUUUUUUCCGUAUUUAACUCGCUUGAUGUGCAGAUUUUCUACGGCCUCGUGCUGUUUUACCUUAGAGAGUGUGCUUGUUUUUUUUUAAAAAGGCCUUACAGAAAAAGCGCUUGUCAAUUUUUUUUUUAAUUCAGCCGUAAGCGUACAAAACACUUUCGUUUUUUAUGUUAAUAUUUUUUUUCUUACCUUAUAAUUUUAUUAUUUUUUAAUUAAAUGGAAUUUUUUAAAACAAAAUAUUAUCUAUACAUCUAGCAAGCAGACCUGCAUUACCUUGCUACGAAGAGGCUUUGCAACACAAGAAAUUCUUAGGCCAAUGUGGUCGAUCGGCUAGUCAGGAUAUGCCAAAAGCAACCCUUAUGGUACCAAACACUAGACCUAGGGCUUCAUCAGCUACACCUCCAAUGCCGAAAACCGAAGAGCCGAAAUUUUCUUCUCUAAUUAGUGACGAAGAAGAGAAAGUUUCGGCCGUUUGAAUUGGUUGAACAAAGAGAAAUGUAUAUCUAUCUUUAGACAUAUAUAUAUAUAUAUAUAUAUAUAUAUGUGUGUGUGUGCAAUAAACAAAUUUUGGAUGAUUAGGUGCUUACCAUCCACUUGUUUAAAGGUGCUGUAUAGAAAUGAAAAAAAAAUUGGAAGAGACUGAAAAUGAAAAGGAAUUUCUUUGGUUUUUUUGUUUUCUGUUUUUUUUUUAAUUAUAUGUAUUUAUAUAUCAAAAACCCUCAUCUUUUCUUCUAUCGUGAUGAAUACCUUUCUGAUUUGUUACCUGUCAUUUACUUCUUAUUUUUUUCUUGCCUGCAAUCCCAUCUUUUUUUUUUUUUUAUAAAGAAAACAAACAAAAUUGUGGCGAAUACUUUUAACAGGAAUAUCUGAUAUUUCCUUUUUAUUUUUUUGAAGAAUUCAAGUGUUUCUUCUUUUUUUUCUAAUCAAAUAAAAAUCCUCAAAUUUAUUGUUGUUAUAAAAGAGAAAUUGGUAAAUAAAGAGUAACCUAUAUAAUGGACCAAAAAGAUAAAAGUGAUAAAAAAAGUAGAAAUGUUACACAAAUGAUAAUGAAUGGUCUCUCUGUUUUUUUUCUUGAUUAUCUCUUUUAAUUGAAUACGAAAUAAGAUUUUGAAUAGUAAAAUAUUCGUAUAAACUGUAUGAUAUGUAUAUACAUUUGUAUACCAAUAUAUGGAU
rnacentral:misc_RNA from 1 species